GGCAACACCACAAAAAGAAUGUAUUAGCUUUAAAUAUCUCAACGUACACAGUCCAUUAAGUGAAUGGCGUAGAAGUAAAAGAAGUAAAAAAUCAGUGAAUCGCAACCAAUCAUCAUACGAAGCUGGAUUAGAAGUAGGCAAUGGUCUUGACAUUUCUUUAACAGCAAACAAAAUUGCAGAAAAAGACACCUAGCCAGUACGAAAUUCUUCCCAAAAAAGAUACAAGCAAAAAGAGAUGAAAUAAACUAGUCUUCAUCCAUCCCUGC
rnacentral:misc_RNA from 1 species